rnacentral:tRNA from 1 species
GGGGAGGUACCCAAGUGGCCAAAGGGGGCAGACUGUAAAUCUGCUGGCGUACGCCUUCGGGGGUU